UACGUAGGAGGCGAGCGUUGUCCGGAGUUACUGGGCGUAAAGGGUGCGCAGGCGGCGGUUCGCGUGGCGAGAUGAAAUCUCCUGGCUUACCUGGGAGGAUGGUCGCCAGACGGGAUCGCUUGAGGGUCGGAGAGGGGCGUGGAAUUCCACGUGUAGCAGUGAAAUGCGUAGAGAUGUGGAGGAACACCGAUGGCGAAGGCAGCCCCCUGGGCUAACACUGACGCUCAGGCACGAAAGCGUGGGGAGCAAACAGG
rnacentral:rRNA from 1 species